rnacentral:lncRNA from 1 species
GUCAUGAGACGGUCGCAGAUCAUCUGGCAAGGCAAAAUAUGCCUUGGACUUGAACUUGGAGCAGGUUGGUACUAAGAAGUGCCUUUCCUGACGUCGCUG